AUUGAACGCUGGCGGCAGGCCUAACACAUGCAAGUCGAGCGGAGCGGCGGACGGGCGAGUAAUGCCUAGGAAUCUGCCUGGCAGUGGGGGAUAACGUACGGUAACGGGCGCUAAUAACACACACUAUCAGAUGAGCCUAGGUGGAAUUAGCUAGUUGGUGGGGCAAAGGCGUACCAAGGCGACGAUCCGUAACUGGUCUGAGAGGAUGAUCAGUCACACUGGAACUGAGACACGGUCCAGACUCCUACGGGAGGCAGCAGUGGGGAAUAUUAGACAAUGGGCGAAAGCCUGAUCCAGCCAUGCCGCGUGUGUGAAGAAGGUCUUCGGAUUGUAAAGCACUUUAAGUAGGGAGGCGUUACCUACAGAGUAAGCACCGGCUAACUUCGUGCCAGCAGCCGCGGUAAUAC
rnacentral:rRNA from 1 species